rnacentral:rRNA from 1 species
CACGUAGGGCGCAAGCGUUGUCCGGAAUUAUUGGGCGUAAAGAGCUCGUAGGCGGUCUGUUGCGUCCGCUGUGAAAACCCAGGGCUUAACCCUGGGCUGGCAGUGGAUACGGACAGACUAGAGGUAGGUAGGGGAGAAUGGAAUUCCCGGUGUAGCGGUGGAAUGCGCAGAUAUCAGGAGGAACACCGAUGGCGAAGGUAGGUCACUGGGCCGCAACUGACGCUGAGGAGCGAAAGCAUGGGGAGCGAACAGG